rnacentral:rRNA from 1 species
GACGAACGCUGGCGGCGUGCUUAACACAUGCAAGUCGAACGGAGUUACGUUUUCGGAUGUAACUUAGUGGCGAACGGGUGAGUAACGCGUGAGGAACCUGCCUCUCAGUGGGGGACAACAGUUGGAAACGACUGCUAAUACCGCAUAAUGCUAUUGACCGGCAUCGGUUGAUAACCAAAGAUUUAUUGCUGAGAGAUGGCCUCGCGUCUGAUUAGCUAGUUGGUGGGGUAACGGCCCACCAAGGCGACGAUCAGUAGCCGGACUGAGAGGUUGACCGGCCACAUUGGGACUGAGAUACGGCCCAGACUCCUACGGGAGGCAGCAGUGGGGAAUAUUGGGCAAUGGGGGAAACCCUGACCCAGCAACGCCGCGUGAAGGAAGAAGGCCUUCGGGUU